rnacentral:tRNA from 1 species
GAAAAUUUAGUUAAUUAUAUAUAACAUUAGAUUGUCAUUCUAAAAUCAAUAAUUUAACUUUAUUAUUUUUCU